rnacentral:snoRNA from 13 species
UGAAUGAUGAUAAGAUGGUAUCUGAAUAUAUGUUGUCGAAAAGCCUUCUACCAUCACUGCUGCCUUCCUUCUGAUAUC